AUUGAACGCUGGCGGAAUGCUUUACACAUGCAAGUCGAACGGUAGAGGGGGGCAACCCCCUUGAGAGUGGCGAACGGGUGAGUAAUAUAUCGGAACGUGCCCAGUCGUGGGGAUAACGUAGCGAAAGUUACGCUAAUACCGCAUACGAUCUAAGGAUGAAAGCGGGGGAUCGCAAGACCUCGGGCGCGAUUGGAGCGGCCGAUAUCAGAUUAGGUAGUUGGUGAGGUAAAGGCUCACCAAGCCAACGAUCUGUAGCUGGUCUGAGAGGACGACCAGCCACACUGGAACUGAGACACGGUCCAGACUCCUACGGGAGGCAGCAGUGGGGAAUUUUGGACAAUGGACGACAGUCUGAUCCAGCCAUUCCGCGUGCAGGAUGAAGG
rnacentral:rRNA from 1 species